rnacentral:rRNA from 1 species
AGUGAACGCUGGCGGUAGGCCUAACACAUGCAAGUCGAACGGCAGCACAGUAAGAGCUUGCUCUUACGGGUGGCGAGUGGCGGACGGGUGAGGAAUACAUCGGAAUCUACUUUUUCGUGGGGGAUAACGUAGGGAAACUUACGCUAAUACCGCAUACGACCUACGGGUGAAAGCAGGGGAUCUUCGGACCUUGCGCGAUUGAAUGAGCCGAUGUCGGAUUAGCUAGUUGGCGGGGUAAAGGCACACCAAGGCGACGAUCCGUAGCUGGUCUGAGAGGAUGAUCAGCCACACUGGAACUGAGACACGGUCCAGACUCCUACGGGAGGCAGCAGUGGGGAAUAUUGGACAAUGGGCGCAAGCCUGAUCCAGCCAUACCGCGUGGGUGAAGAAGGCCUUCGGGUUGUAAAGCCCUUUUGUCGGGAAAGAAAAGCAGCAGGUUAAUACCCCGCUGUUCUGACGGUACCCAAAGAAUAAGCACCGGCUAACUUCGUG